GCUCGCGUAGCUCAAAUGGAGGAGCACUGGUCUUCUAUACCAGGUGAUGCAGGUUCGACCCCUGCCGCGAGUGCCA
rnacentral:tRNA from 1 species